rnacentral:lncRNA from 1 species
AAAGAGAACUCCAAAUAACAACACAAGCUUAGCUUUUGCUUUAGAAGUUUCUAGAAUUUAGUUGAUGCUAUUGGAGCUAUCAUGAACUGAUACAGUCCCCGUGGGGAGUGACUGUAUGAGCUCGAACUGGACUUGGACAUUUCUCCAGCCCUCUGUGGUUCCAGUUGAGAAGUAAGUGCUCUUCAUUCAUUCUCAGUAACCAGGAGGAAAAGGUAAAUCAGCGUGACUUAGAAUGAUCGUUCCCUCUGUCUAUCCCCACAAGCAGUUCCCUGUGCGUUUAAAGCAGUGGGUUUUUCAGAAUGUAAAGAUCUGGGGGUCGCUCCCUGGCCAGUCGCGCAUAUUCAAUAUCUGCUCGUCCUUUCCCUCCCCUUCCAGAGACCAAUGUCACCUGUCUGUCCUUUUCUGGUGCCUGGCCCUUGCUGGGGUCACCCACAUCCCCUCCCGUGAGCUGCUGUGUCUCGUAUCCCUCCUGUCCUGCCGCUCUCGCUCUUGCUCCUAGGCCGCCUUCUCCCUCAUGCAUCCAGCUACUUGGUUUGAAACUCUCCCCUGGCGCCUGCUCUGUGGGGAAAGCCGGGCUUCCUCUGAUUCCGGAUGGAGUGUUUAAAUGAGAUGUCCACACAACCCCCAAGGACCCUCUGAUUCCAACGGAAUUGGAGCCUACGCCUGCCAGACCCCCAGGCCUGAGCGCCAGCCCUUCACUGAUCAGCUAGCCUCUGCCUGCAAGUCUAAGGUCUGCAGAAUCGAGGGAGGCCAGCAUGGCACACAGCGGUCCAGACUCGCAGUGACAAGGUGGCUGCAGUGCAUGGAGGGCCACCGGAGGCUGGCACUGGUGUCUCCUGCACACAACGCAGGGAGGGUGAGGAUGGGGUCCAUGCACCUGCCAGGGUGGGGAUGGACAAGACCCCUCCAGCAGGGCCAGGCAGGCUGGGCAGCCCUCUGUCCCUCAAAGUCCACCCGCCCAUGACAGCUAAGAUUAAAGUGACUGCUGCGUUGAAGAAGGAGGGAGGCAGAGAGACAGCAGCCAGCAGCUCCAAAGGGGAUCCCAGGCAAGUGAUGAGCAGUGGGGAAACCCUCUCUCCAGUCAGCUUGUCAUGUCAUACAGGCUUUCCUGACCUCAGCAAUGCGGAUAUGAGGGGCAGGAAUACACUCUGGGGUGGGGCCGUCCUGGGCACCGCAGGGUGCUGGGCAGCAUCCCUGGCCUCCACCCACUCCAUGCCAGGAAACCCCCCGACCCCUGUCUGACAGCCACAAAUGUCUCCAGACAUCGCCCAGUGUCCCCUGGGGGCAGGACCACCCCCAUGGAGAACCACACGUCUAAGGCCACACCUUUACUCCACACAGCAUUUCCAGAUUCACCAAACCACUCUCCGUGCUUGUCCCCUCAGAUUACUUCAUGUCAUGCAGCUGUUCACAUCUGGCUUCUUGGCCAGCCAGCCCUUCUUGAGAAAACAAAGUCUGGAUCUAUGUCAUCUCAGCAGCCCCCUCACAGAUCCCUCACCCCAACCCCAGACCCUACGUAGCACAUUGCCUGCAAAGAUGCUCAAGACGUGUUUUGCAAUGAACAAGAGAAUGAGCAGCCCGCCUGCUCCGGGCUGCUCACCUGUUCUAGCCACCUUCACCAUGUUGGCCUCCAGCUCCCGUCUUCAGCUGAGCACAGGGGCCUGUCCCAGGAUUCUUGGAAGCGGCUUCCUAAGGCAUCAUGCUUUUGUGUUCUCCUUCUCUUACCAGCCUUUCUUUCCCUCUCACGUUUCUCUCCCUUUCUGACCAUGAGCAGGGCUGCAGUGCAGCUGCUGAUGGUCAAGAUGAAGAUGGGGAAUGUGCCAGUGAAAACCUGGCAUGCGGAGGCCUCACCUCACUCACCCUCUCCUGUCCCAGCUUCAAAAUCUUUCAGAGCGACUCAUGCUGCCAGAGGGUGGAGGAGUGGACCUUGAAAUGACAAGUGACAGUUCCUCAGCAGUAGCAUCUCCUGCUUUCUCAGCCUGGUGACCUGACCCGGCAGCACGCCCACUGGGCACCUGUGCCCACCUGGGGAUGGGGUCUCGUCCUGCCUGUGUGACCCUUCCUCCUGACAGCCAUCUCUAGAGACAGCCAGUGAGGGCAGGGCAACAGGCAGUGCAUGUUCUUUCCACAUCUCCAUGACUGAUUCUGGCCAGGAGGAGGCUGGCUUUCUGGAUCCCACCAACAUCACAUAGGGGACCUUUUCAAUCUACCUCCUACCUCCCCUCCAGUCGUGAUUUGAUUCUGGAAUUUAAGAAGCGGAGAAAGAGCCUAGUUCAAAUUCAAGAAUUUCCAUCUAAAACCACAGCAUGGAGAGGCCCCUUUAAAAACCACCUAACCCAGCUCUUUCAUCAAACAGAUGAAGAAACUUACCUAAAGAUGUUAAGUGGUUUGCCCAAAUUGCAAAGCCUGAUAUAUGGGAAAAUACUUCCAUGGGAAAUAAGAAAAUGAUAAAUUUAAAAAAAAUUUUAAAUGAGGCUCUAAUUCCUGAAAAAUGACUUACUUAAACUGGGGACUGGGCAGAAAAUAAUAUUGUAGAAGGUAGAACAGCAUUUCUUUGGGAGGAUUUAUCUUUUUAAGUAUAUAGUGGUCUUCUACCACUAUCCUACAACAGGUUGCAGGACAAAUAAUGUAUUUUAAUCUUUGGGGGAGUCUUUGUGUAAGUCAGACCUUAUUCAUUUUCAUUCCAACAACACUCGCAGCCAUUGGAUCCUAAUUAUCACAUCUAAUAAGGCUGAUGGCUAAUCAGCUUGCCUUUUUAAGAAAAAAAGGCCGGGCACGGUGGCUUAUGCCUGUAAUCCCAGCACUUUGGGAGGCCGAGGCAGGUGGAUCAUGAGGUCAGAAGAUCGAGACCAUCCUGGCUAACACGGUGAAACCCCGUCUCUACUACAAAUACAAAAAAAUUAGCCGGGUGCGGUGGCGGGCGCCUGUAGUCCCAGCUACUCGGGAGGCUGAGGCGGAAGAAUGGCGUGAACCCGGGAGGCGGAGCUUCCUGGGCGACAGAACGAGACUCUGUCUCCAAAAAAAACACAAAUGACAUUCCAUUAUAAGUUUCUGCUGCAAAAGAAAGUUGGGAAAUUUGUUUAGAUACUUUAAAUAGUCCUAAGAUUAGCUGAAAUGCCGGUAACAAACGUGCAAUGAACAUUUUCUUGGGGGCAUUCAGCAACAAAGUGAAUCGUCCUUAAAAAAAAUCCAUACAACUAAAGCGAGUCUCACCACGGGAACCACAGGAGCUGUUUUAGUGAGGGGCUGGAGUGUCUGUUACAGGCGGCACUUUUGCGGCUGUUGCUGCAUUAGUCAGAUUGCACUCGAGAUGAAUGAGGAAGAAUAAAGUCUUCACCAAAAACCUGUCUUGGCUAACAGUUCUGAAUUUAUAGCCCUGGCAGUGGGGGCGGGGGCUGGGGGCGGGGCUGGGAGGAGGGGAAGAAAUGUGUCACCCGCUCUGAAUGAAGUUCAGGGGUGGUGUUUACCUAAGCAACAAACCCUUGUCAACAAUCGCUAUCUCUGGCUUGCCAGCGGAGGAGGUGGGGGAGUGAGGCUGUUUUGAUCAAAAUCCAACCUGUGGCUGCAAAGUGCCCAUCAACAGGGCACUUUGUUAGUGGGAACGUGCGACCUCUCUUAAUAAACAUAACAUACACAUCCCACUGAGGGCCACGGGUGGACCCAACUUCUUAACAGGAACAUUGAGCACAUGAAACCAGAAGGUGCUGGGUCCAAUUUCCACCCUCAGCCAACCCUAUCUGUGAAUGUCUCUACAUGUGAGCCAGCCAGGGCUCAACUCUUUGCUCUUCUGAAAUUCUUAGGCAGCAGAAAUGAAGGCAUCGUGCUGAAAAGCGCUCCAGAAAUUGCGGAUUUAUCAGUGAUGUACGGUAGUAGGUUGGACAAGUAAUGAUUUUCUGAACACCAGGAAUUAGAUCAAAAAAGAAAUUCCACUUAAGACUAAAAUAAGUCUCCAGUUGAGAGCAGUCUAGGACAUAUUCGAAUGGCCAGAAGUUUGUUUCAAUGGGGCCUCUGCGUUUGUGCAGCCUGGGAGUCAACAUUACAAUAUUGGUUCUUUCAAGCAGAUCCCGAGUGGAUCCAUGUCUGCCUGUUGUGGCAAAUCAAACUCAAAUUUAAUCAGAGAAAAAUAUAUGCAGAUGUUCAAUUAAAACCUGGAGUCCGCAGUCUUGGCACUGUUUGCCCGGCCCUCAUUGUUUGCUAAGUAACAACGGUUGCCAGGGGCAACGCAGUCCACUCCCGUUUCCAAGAGCCUGUUGCUGGGCAACCGGGAGAAUACUUCCCAAACCAAACAAUGUCAUCCCGGAGCAACCCCCUCUAUCUCACAUUAACCAGAUCUAAAAAAAACCCUCUCAAAUAUGUAAUCUAUUAUUUUCAGAAGCCCUAAGAGAAAGGCAAAUAAUCUCUUCUCUAUAGUAACUGAGGGGAAAACAGUUUACCAUAUUUGUUCUGAAAUAACAAAACCCAAGGAGGAACAACUCUCUCUGAGGUAAGAGGGCAUCACAGGAGGGAUUUCAAUCCUUCCUAGUACUGGGAGGAGAAAGUGCCCUUUUCUCCAAGAGGAAAGAAUCUAUUUAUCAUCAAACAAACAAUGUGGGAGAGUUCAUAGCUGCACAAGUGUUUUCUGGGCGAAGUAAAAUGAAUCAUGGAUUAAGCUAUUUGGAAAAAAGUGUGAAAACAGAGGAGUUGAUACCAAAUUAAAACGACUUUUGGAAAUAUCAUGUACGUAUGGAACAAGUGCAAAGGGAACCACUGACUCAGCGUCAGAAAUGCCUUGUGGGGCUUUGCCGGGAGGGACUUACAGUAUAUCUUUGACAUCACUGCGCCGGCUCUUCCCUCCCUACCCGGAGAGAGGAAGACUUUUCUAAGAGGAAGCCAGGCCACAUCAGAUGCCCCCAGAUGGCAGGACACACAAGGGACACAUAUCUCCGGAAAGAGGAGGCACAUGGUUGGGCAAUCUCGACCCAUGAAGGGGGAAAAGAAAAGGGCUAAACUGAAGCUAGUGCAGCUUUUGUUCUGCCUGGAGCAGUUCAGGCUGAGCAUGGCUUCUCUGAGGCUUUGGGACCAGGAGAGGGUGAAGUGGCACCACCACCUUUCAAGGGGAACACAGAGCUCUAAGCAGUGCUCUUGUUUUUGGUGGGCCCAGCCAAGGAUCUUAAAACAUUUUGAUAGAAUGAGCAACAUGUAGCUGCAGCCUCGAUGGGUCAACAUUUUGGAUGAUAAAAGCACACAAUGCUGAUAGAUUUGUGCAUGACCAAGCAUACCUUUCAAGGAGCUCUCAGCGGAGGUUUGCCCUUUGAGACAGACACAGUCAGUGCACAGAAACUGUUUUUUUAAGAUAUCAUCCAGGAGUCAUUCCUAGAAUAGGAAUGGAAUAGACAUGCCUCCCUGAGAAGAAAGGAAGACAGAUUCUAUACUGUUAGAAUUUGAAUCUGUGUUGCAGGGAGAUGAGGAAUUUGAAGCCAGACUCUUGGGCUGUUAAUGUAUGGCUAAGUGGUGAUGUGGUGACAACCUUGAAUGCUAGUCCUGGAGGUCAAAUCACCAGCAGCUGGUGCCAUGGGAGGCUUUGCUUAGGGGACACGGCUGGGUUCUGCCUGGAUGCUGCAUCCCAAGGGAGGCAUUGAGGUGCGGCUGUGAGGACUCCAAACCCCAUGUCCAGAAGGAUGAGUAACAGAGAUCCUGUGUCAUUCAUUGAUUUCAAUAAAAUAUUUAUUGGAUCCAUAGCAUGGGCCUGGCAUUGACCAGUCAUCAAAACACAAUUCCCUGCCCUCAUGGAGUUUCUAUUCUAGACCAUGCGGGAGGAUAGGAGCAUAUGGACAGUAAACAAGGUAAGUGAGAAAAAUAUGUCGUACGUCAGAUGACACCCUAUAUCAUAUGGUGACAAGUACCAGGGGGAAAAGGAAGCAGACAGAAGGAGUGCUGGGAUAGGAAGGGGUUGCAAUUUUUAAAGCGUUGUCAAAUGCUUCCCUGGGUGGGCUCAUUAAAGAGAUGAGGAAGGUGUGGGACGGAGCUGUCCAGAUAUCCUGGGGAAGAGCGUUCCUAAUGGAGGGAAAAGCCAGUACAAAGGCCCCGAGGUGGGACAAUGCCUGGCUUGAAACUGGAGCUGAGUGAACCAGAAGGCAAGGAGAAAGGCCCACACAGGCCAUUGUAGGGGCUCUGGCUUUUGCUUGGGGUAAAUGGAAGCCAUCACAAGGUUUGAGCCCAGGAAUGGCCUGGUUUGACUUGCAUUUUAACCAGGCCCCUCUGGCUGCUGGGUUGAGAAUAGGGGAAGAAGGAAAAGGGUGGGAGCAGAGAGAGCAAUCUGGAGGCUAAUGUGAUAAUCUGGGCAAGGGAGGGGGGCCUGGCUGUGAGCCAUGGAGGGGCAAAGCCGUCAGACUCUGGAUAAACAUAGGAGGUAGAGUCAGCCAGAUCUGCUGACGGGUCAAGGGUACCUCCAAGGUUUUUGGCAACUAAAAGGAUGAGGUCAGGAAAAUUACCCAAGAAAAAGGCCUGGAGAGCACUUGGGAGUUGAGUUCUGAAGGUGUAAAGUGUGAGAGGCUCCUAGACACCCAGGUUGAGAUGCUGAGAAAGCAGGCAGAUUACAUAAGUCUCAGGCUGAGGGGUGAGCUGGAGCCAUCAGUGUAUAGAGAAUGCAGGCUGGAGCCAUCAGUGUAUAGAAUAUAUGAACUAGAGCCAUCAAUGUAUAGAUAACAUAGCUGGAACCAUCAGUGUGUAGGGGACAUGACCUAGAGCCACCAGUGUCUAGAGGAUGUGGGCUGAAGCCAUCAGUGUAUAGAGAACAUGGGAUGGGGCCAUCAGUGUAUAGAUGACAUGGCUGGAGCCAUCAGUGUAUAGAGAACAUGAGCUAGAGCCACCAGUGUAUACAGGAUGUAGGCUGGAGUCAUCAGUGUAUAAAUGACCUAGUUAAAACCAUAAGACUAUCUGGGCUCACCAAGGAAGAGCAGAGAGAAGAGGCCUAGGGCUGAGUUCUGGGGCUGUCUACCAUUUAGAGAUCCCAAAGAAGCAGGAGCCUGAAAAGAGGCCAAAGAAGUAUAAGCAAGUGGUGUCCUGAGAACCAAGUGACUCUGGGGCUGAGUGGUGAUCACUGGAAUCAGCAAAGUGGAGGUCACCAGUGAUUGUGACAGAGGAGCUCCAGGGGAAAAGUGUGUGCAAAAGCCACAGAGGUUGGAGCAGGUUCAAGAGAGCCCCAAGUGGAGCAGAACUGGAGACAGGAGGACCAGAUGGCUCUUUUGAGGAAUUUUUGCUAGAAAGAUAGGAAGAGGAAUGGGGAGGCAGCUGGAAGAGGAAACUGAGAGCGGGUUUCUGAAAAUGAAAGAAAUAAUAGCAGGUAGGACCUACCAGGAGGGAACUGGGAUAGGAGAAAGAAGGGAGACUUGCAAGUGGAUGUUCUUUCAUGGAUGGGAUGGGAUGGGAUGUGGAUGGGAUGGGAUGGGAUGUGGAUAGGAUGGGAUGGGAUGGGAUGGGAUGGGAUGGGAUGGGAUGUGGAUGGGAUGGGAUGGGAUGUGGAUGGGAUGGGAUGGGAUGGGAUGGGAUGGGAUGUGGAUGGGAUGGGAUGGGAUGUGGAUGGGAUGGGAUGUGAAUGGGAUGGGAUGGGAUGGGAUGGGAUGUGGAUGGGAUGGGAUGGGAUGGGAUGGGAUGGGAUGGGAUGGGAUGUGGAUGGGAUGGAAUGGGAUGUCCUGCAGAACACAGGUGGGCUUGGCCAGGGCUAGGUGCAUGGAUAUGCAUCCACCAGUACAGGAGAGAAGACAGAGUGUCCACCCUGGAAGGUGACACCAAGUCAUAGUCCUUCUGGAGGGGGGUCCUGGUCCCCAGUCCCAUUCUUCAUCCAUGGAAUCCCUGUGUUUACUCCUCGCCAGCCUCAAUAGCUGGCUGCUGGGGGCCUCCACUCUCAGCAGGGUGGACGGGCUUGAAGCCACACGAUAGGGCCUGGGUAUAAAGUAUGAUGACCUAGGUCCACAGACCUCACAUCAGAGCCUCCAGCAGACCCUGGGUUCAUAGUCACAUAUGGGCUCCAUGUGACCAAUACUUGCCCCCACCCCAUGGUCCCACCUCAAUGCCUGACAGAAGCCCCACUCCUCAGGUUUAUGCACAUGAUUUGCCUUUUUCACUGCUUUCUUUUUCUUUUCUAGACACAGGGUCUUGCUCUGUCACCCAGGCUGGAGUACAGUGGUUGGAUCAUAGCUCACUGCAGCCUCAAACUCCUGGGCCCUCAGCCCAGUGAUUGUCCUGCCUUAGCCUCCCAUGUAGCUAGGACUACAGGUGCACACCACCACGCCUGGCUACUUAAAACAAACAAACAAACAAAUUGUAGUAGCAAGGUCCUACUAUGUUGUCCAGGCUGGUCCUGAACUCUUGGCCUCAAGCAGUCUUCCCACCUCAGCCUCCCAAAGUGUGGGACUGCAGGCGUGAGCCCCCGUGCCUGGCCCUCACUGCUUUCCUUAUGGUUACUCCAUACCUCUUUUCAAAUUUGCCAAAUGGCUAAUCUUUCCACACUCGAGUAUUAUUAGAAAUGAGUUUUAAUAUACCUAUUUUUCUUGCUAUGUCAACGUACAAACAUGCAUCCUUAAAUAAGAAAGUGUUAGAGUCACAUAUUAAAAAUGCAUUUCUUGCUAAGUCAUGCUCGAAUUAUGCAAGAUUGCAAGGAAAUUUAAUGCAAGACAAAUGAGUGAGGCCAGGAAUCUUGCUGUGAGAGUUUGGGAAGCAGAGCUCCCUGGCUCCAGACAAGGAAUGGACUCAGCCUGACGGGAGGAGGUCUCGCCUGUCUUUGGGAGGGAAAGAUCCUGUCGGUACUUUUAAGUGAUCGUCUAUCUUUGAGGCACAGACAUAUCUCAAUUGGCCCGGGACAGAAAAUCAAGCCAAGUCAGAGAUCCCCUCAGCAAGACCCAGGGAUCUCUGAAGAAAUGAAAAUGAAGCGAAGAAAGACAAAAUUAGAAAUAUUUAUUCCAUCCGUCAUCUCUUUGCUUGUCUCAAAUGC